UUCUUUUUAGCUUAAAGGAAAAGCAGGAUACUUCUAAUAUCCAGAUCCAAGUUCGAGUCUUGGAUAAGAAU